ACCACAUCCCCGCCCAGCCCUUAUACACCUCGCACACCCAGCCCCUGGUUGCUUUCUAGCCAUUGUUAUAGACAGCCCAGCGGCUGUGUCCCUUAAUAAAAGCCCCGCUUUGAGUGUACUUGUUUUGGCUCAUUUUAUUUCUCUCAUGCAGAAUGUAUAACUGCACGGCCUGGGAAGUUUUUCUCUUCUGCUCCGGAGGGGGUCUGACACAUUUAAGAGCCUCGAUGCAAUCAAGAGCGCGUAUCCACUUUAAGAUUCUCACAGGUUCCACUCCACGCCAUGGUGUGGGCUGUUGUACAAGAGUUGAAUGCUUUGUAGUUAUUUCUGCUUUUUAAAGAAAAUGAAAAUGCAUUCCAGGACUAGUAAUUUCAAAGCAAGGACCACGUACGUUGUGGCUGUCUUCCGUCUGUGCCCAACUAACCGCCAACCUCAGGGCCAUUAACCAGGACUCUCGCUACUGCUCUGCAGAGCAGCGUGGCAGGAGGUACAGGCGCUGCUUCCGGAGCUCGCCAACACUUCCGCACGCUACACAGCGGCGCUCUUCCCUUCCCGCCAGCCUCUGGCUUGCGCAAGCGUCAGGAGGCAGGGCUAGUGCUCGGCCGCCCUGACCCCGAGGGGGUCCAUACGUCACUGCGCCGCGCCGGGCACUAUUUUUCAUACAGUUACCCGCCUCCCGGAAGGAAAUCCGUGAUCAUGGCGACCGCGGCGGAGCAGUGGGUACUGGUGGAGAUGGUACAGGCGCUUUACGAGGAAGGAUUUAAGGAGAUUUAUUGGGAAUACAGAAAAUGUACAUUGUGUGAAACUUUUUAAGACUUGUGGAAGCUGGUUUUCACCUAACUCUCUUAGCUUAUCCAUGAGUAGUUAGAGGUGAUAGAAGGAUUGUUCAGCUGUGAAAUGUUUUAUUGCAAUCAUUUCCUACUGGCUCCUGCUUACCAUCUUAUUUUAGAAGGAAUUCUAAUACUGUGGAUAAUCAGACUUCUUUUCUCUAAAACAUACAAAUUACAAGAACGAUCUGAUCUCACAAUCAAGGAAAAGGAGGAAUUGAUUGAAGAGUGGCAGCCAGAACCUCUGGUUCCUCCUAUCUCCAAAGAUCAUCCUGCUUUCAACUACAACAUCGUUUCAGGUAGAAAUCCCAGUCACUCUCCAGUAAUUCCUCCCUCCCUGUUCCUCAUGCUCUGGCAACCACAGAUCUACUUUCUGUAUUGAUUUGGCUAUUCUGAAUAUUUCAUAUAUAAGGAAUCACAAUAUGUAACCUUUUACGUUGAGCUUAGCAUGUUUUCAAGGUUCAUCCAUGUUGUAGCAUGUGUCACCACUUCCUUUAUGUGAUAAAUAAUGUUCCAUUGUGUGGAUGUGUCACUUGUUUAUAUGUUCGUCAGUUGACGGACAUUUGGGUUAGUUCUCCUUAAGAGUAUAUGAAAAAUAAAAUACAUGAAUAUAAAAAUACGUACAUGAAUGAUAUGCUUUGAACAUUUUCAUAUGGUUACAUGUUUUAAUUUCUCUUGGAUAUAUACAUACUUUUGUUGUAUGAUAACUAUAUUUAGCAUUUUGAGUAACCACCAUACUGCAUUCCAAAGUGGCUUUAUCAUUUUUCAUUCCCACCAGCAGUGUAGGAGGAUUCCAGUUUGUCUACAUUUUCACUAACACUUGCAAUAAUGUCUUUUUUAUGAUAGACAUUCUAGUACAUCAAAGAGGUAUUUCAUUGUGGAUUUAAUUUGCAUUUCCCUGAUGACUAAUGAUGUUGAGAAUCUUUUCAUAUAAUUAUUAGCCAUUUCUAUAUUUUUGAAGAAACGUCUACUUAAAUCACUUGCCCAUUUUUUAAUUGAGUUGUCUUAACAGUUGUUUCUUUUUUGGAGGGCACCAGUUCCUUAUCAAAUACAUGAUUUGCUAAUAUUUCCUCCAUUCUAUGUGGUUUUAUUUUACUUAUUUGAUAGUGUUCUUUGAAGCACGGAAGUUUUUAAAUUUAACAUAAAGUCCAGUUUAUUUUUCCUUCUGUUGCUCUUGCUUUUGUGUCAUACCUAAAAAUGUUUAUGCUUAAUCUAGGGUUAUGAAGAUUACUCUUUUGUUUCAUUUUAAGAUUAUAUAGGUUUUGCCCUUGCAUUUAGUUCUGUGAUUCAUUUUGAGUUAACUUUUAUAUAUGGUAUAGGGUGGAUUUUAACUACAUUCUUUUAUACAUGGAAGUACAGUUAUCCUAGCAUCAUUUGUUGGAAGGAGAAUUUUUUUCCUAUAGAAUUGUCUUGUUGAAAAUCAGUUAGCCAUGAACAUAAGUGGCAUUCGUGAUGUGGUUGCCACUGUGUACAGUGAACUUGAGAAUUGGUGACAUUAACAUUAUAGUAUAGAGGAGAGUAUUGUAAACACAAGGUUGAGCAGAGAAGGACAGAACUGGGUAAAGAGGUUUUAAGGAUGUCUUUACAGCUUUAUGUCGCUUAUAUUUUUAUUUUCAUAAGUAUAAAAGUAUGACAAAAAUCUAUGUCUAAGAAUGCCUAAUACGACUUUUUAUGAAAUAUAAACUAAAAAAUUCUACAUGGCAAAGAAUCAUUACAUUUUAGUUGUUACUGUUUUUCCUUAGUGGUAGAUAAAGUUC
rnacentral:lncRNA from 1 species